UACGUAGGGUCCGAGCGUUGUCCGGAGUUAUUGGGCGUAAAGGGCUCGUAGGCGGUUUGUCACGUCGGGAGUGAAAACUCAGGGCUCAACCCUGAGCGUGCUUCCGAUACGGGCAGACUAGAGGUAUGCAGGGGGAGAACGGAAUUCCAGGUGUAGCGGUGAAAUGCGUAGAUAUCUGGAGGAACACCGGUGGCGAAGGCGGCAUCCUGGACCGACACUGACGCUGAGGAGCGAAAGCCAGGGGAGCAAAGCGGGGAUUAAGAUGACCCUG
rnacentral:rRNA from 1 species